rnacentral:misc_RNA from 1 species
GGUUUUUAUUUUUUACUUUAAACUUUGAUUUUAUUUUUAUGUUUUUUAAAUAUUGGUGUUUUUGAAUGUGUUGUUUAAAUAACAUAAAAAAUAAAAUAUAUAUUGACAUGUAUUAAACAAAGAUAUAUAUUAUUUUAUGUUGUAUAAAUAAAUUGGCAAAAUAGAGAUGGAAGAUA